rnacentral:rRNA from 1 species
GACGAACCGUGCAAACGUUGUUCGGAAUCACUGGGCUUAAAGGGCGCGUAGGCGGGCGGGCAAGUCAGGGGUGAAAUCCCACGGCUCAACCGUGGAAGUGCCUUUGAUACUGCUCGUCUGGAGGGAGGUAGGGGCGUGCGGAAUUCCUGGUGUAGCGGUGAAAUGCGCAGAUAUCAGGAGGAACACCGGUGGCGAAGGCGGUUCUCUGGGCAUGAUCUGACGCUGAGGAGCGAAAGUGUGGGGAGCGAACAGG